AUUGAACGCUGGCGGCAUGCUUUACACAUGCAAGUCGGACGGCAGCACAGAGAAGCUUGCUUCUUGGGUGGCGAGUGGCGAACGGGUGAGUAAUAUAUCGGAACGUACCGAGUAAUGGGGGAUAACUAAUCGAAAGAUUAGCUAAUACCGCAUAUUCUCUGAGGAGGAAAGCAGGGGACCUUCGGGCCUUUCGUUAUUCGAGCGGCCGAUAUCUGAUUAGCUAGUUGGUGGGGUAAAGGCCUACCAAGGCGACGAUCAGUAGCGGGUCUGAGAGGAUGAUCCGCCACACUGGGACUGAGACACGGCCCAGACUCCUACGGGAGGCAGCAGUGGGGAAUUUUGGACAAUGGGCGCAAGCCUGAUCCAGCCAUGCCGCGUGUCUGAAGAAGGCCUUCGGGUUGUAAAGGACUUUUGUCAGGGAAGAAAAGGCUGUUGCUAAUAUCAAUAGCUGAUGACGGUACCUGAAGAAUAAGCACCGGCUAACUACGUG
rnacentral:rRNA from 1 species